rnacentral:rRNA from 1 species
GACGAACGCUGGCGGCGUGCUUAACACAUGCAAGUCGAACGAAGAGGCGGACGGGUGAGUAACGCGUAAACAACCGGCCCUCCAGCGGGUGACAACAGUUGGAAACGACUGCACAUACCGCAUAUUGAAGGUGGGGCUUGCGUGUGAUUAGGUAGUUGGAGGGGUAACGGCCCACCAAGGCGAUGAUCAGUAGCCGGUCUGAGAGGGUGGACGGGCACAUAUGGACUGGGACAAGGCCCAGGAUCCUACGGGAGGCAGCAGUGGGGAAACUUCCGGAAUUGACGGAAGGCUGGCAGGGCAACGCCGGGGGGGGGAUGACGGCCUUCGGGUUGUAAAGCUCUGUUAGUCGGGACGCGGUACCGGACUAGAAAGCCACGGCUAACUACGUGCCAGCAGCCGCGGUAAUUC